rnacentral:tRNA from 1 species
GGUCGCGUAGCUCAGCAGGAUAGAGCACAAAGCCUUCCUAAAAGCUUGUUGUCAGAGGUUCAGAAUCCUCUCGUGAUCGCCA